AACAGCCCCGCAAAAAACGUUUAAAAAAUAAAAUACAAUAAAACGAAAUAAAUUUAUAAAAAAAAACAAAUUUAUAGAAAUGAAAAUAAUGGCAAAUAUUUAAUAGAUAAUUUAAAUUGUUAGUGGUGUUCAAUAAGUUUCGAUAUAUCAGAAAAGUAUCAUCAAUGGCUAUAAGUAAUUAGAAUAUAUCGAGGACACAGCAAAACUAAACAUCAACUGUGCAUCUACUAUAGUAAUAGCCGUAUUUUUAUCCGGCCAAUGACUGUCAAACCGGCAGAACUCCUUCAAUUACUUCAAGAAUGUUUUCGGCCGCUACAAGAACAAGAUAAAGCAUAUCGUUCCCACGACAGUCGGAUCUACGAAACUAGAACUGACUUCAGGAUUAUUUUCUGCAGCUAAAAUAACAGUAUUCAACAUUUUUUACGCGAGGCGAUUUACCGGUAUUCGUUUUAAACAUUAAAUAUAAUUCUUCGUCAGUAAUUUGUAUGUCAUGUUUUCGGAGCAUAUGUGUCGUUAUACUGCAAUAAAAAUGAACAUAUACAUUUUUUCAUUUUCGUUA